rnacentral:rRNA from 1 species
GAUGAACGCUGGCGGCGUGCCUAUACAUGCAAGUAGAACGCUGAAGCUUGGUGCUUGCACCGAGCGGGAGAGUUGCGAACGGGUGAGUAACGCGUAGGUAACCUGCCUCUUAGCGGGGGAUAACUAUUGGAAACGAUAGCUAAUACCGCAUAAAAGUCGGCAUUGCAUGAUGUUGACUUGAAAGGUGCAACUGCAUCACUAAGAGAUGGACCUGCGUUGUAUUAGCUAGUUGGUGAGGUAACGGCUCACCAAGGCGACGAUACAUAGCCGACCUGAGAGGGUGAUCGGCCACACUGGGACUGAGACACGGCCCAGACUCCUACGGGAGGCAGCAGUAGGGAAUCUUCGGCAAUGGACGGAAGUCUGACCGAGCAACGCCGCGUGAGUGAAGAAGGUUUUCGGAUCGUAAAGCUCUGUUGUAAGAGAAGAACGAGUGUGAGAGUGGAAAGUUCACACUGUGACGGUAACUUACCAGAAAGGGACGGCUAACUACGUGCCAGCAGCCGCGGUAAUACGUAGGUCCCGAGCGUUAUCCGGAUUUAUUGGGCGUAAAGCGAGCGCAGGCGGUUAGAUAAGUCUGAAGUUAAAGGCUGUGGCUUAACCAUAGUACGCUUUGGAAACUGUUUAACUUGAGUGCAAGAGGGGAGAGUGGAAUUCCAUGUGUAGCGGUGAAAUGCGUAGAUAUAUGGAGGAACACCGGUGGCGAAAGCGGCUCUCUGGUCUGUAACUGACGCUGAGGCUCGAAAGCGUGGGGAGCAAACAGG